AUUUAUGCCCAGUUCUCUGCAUGUCAAAGUGAAGAAAUUCAACCAAGCGCGGGUAAACAAUGGGAGUAACUAUGACUCUCUUAAGGUAUCCAGAUGCUUCAUCAUCUAAUUAGUGACACACAUGAAUGGAUUAAUGAGAUUCCCACUGUCCCAAGCUACUAUCUAGAAAAAUCACAACCAAGGGAACGAGCUUGGAAAAAUUAGCGGGGAAAGAAGACCCCAUUGAGCUUGACUCUAAUCCGCCUUUGUGAAAUGAAUUGAGAGGUGUAGAAUAAGUGGGAGUUGUUUUCAACGCCAGUGAAAUACCACUACUUUUAACAUUAUUUUACUUAUUUCAUGGGGAAGAGAUGAGGCAUUGCACGUAUGUUAAAAGAUAAUGCACAUUUCCUCCAAGUGUUUUCAUUGAUGGAAAUGGUCGAAAUAUCAUUGUUUACACAAUUGAUGGAAAUGAGUUUAGGAAACCAAAGAGGAUCAUUGCUUUUAAGGAUGAAGAAAUUUCCUAUAACAAUCCCUAUGUUUUUAGCCAACAUCUCCCUAUAAGU
rnacentral:ncRNA from 1 species